GCCCGCCUAGCUCAAUCGGAUAGAGCGUCAGACUCUUAACUUCGUUGUGAGAGUGCGGGAUCUGAAGGCUGCGAGUUCGACCCUCGCGGUGGGCU
rnacentral:tRNA from 1 species